rnacentral:rRNA from 1 species
CCCUUAGAUGUUCUGGGCUGCACGCGCGCUACACUGAUGCGCUCAACGAGUUUUAACCUUGCCUGGAAAGGUUGGGUAAUCUUUUUAAAACGCAUCGUGAUGGGGAUAGAUUAUUGCAAUUAUUAAUCUUCAACGAGGAAUUCCUAGUAAGCGUGAUUCAUCAAAUCGCGUUGAUUACGUCCCUGCCCUUUGUACACACCGCCCGUCGCUCCUACCGAUUGAAUGUGUUGGUGAGGAGCUCGGAUUGGCAGCAGUUGGUGGUUCGCCACCGGCUAUUGCUGAGAAGUCCUCCAAACCGCCCCAUUUAGAGGAAGGAGAAGUCGUAACA